GGCGUGCCGGUGUCGUUAACCGGGGGCAAUCCGCCAGGCGCGGAAGCGAGCAGCGGACCCCUGGACACCUGCCGCUCGCAGGGUCGCGGGGUGG
rnacentral:SRP_RNA from 1 species